rnacentral:lncRNA from 13 species
AUGGAGAAAAUCGGGAAUGGGGAAGAUGGAGAGGUCUGGAAUGUGGCCACCUUUCGGACCAUCCCUGGGCUCCGACGUGCCUCCCUCUGCCUGCAUUCCCACUGGAUGCCUCCGGAGAGUUCUUCUUUCCCAUUCCAGCUUUGCAUUUGGAAUCCAGUUCUGUCUCGACCCCUUUUUAAACUUUUCUUUCAACAAGUUCAAAGUCCUUUACAGUUUUUCCUGAGCUUCUUUUUCUCACGCAUAUAUAUUUUUAGAGAAUAAACAGAUGGGAAGAGUCUGAAGAUACAAAGUGAGUCACGUAUGGUAGCAGUCCCUGAACCCUGCAUGUAUGGCAAGGUGUAGGGAAUGGCCCUAUUCUUCCUAGGUUGUAAGCAUCUUUCUCUAGGGCCAAGGCAGCUAACAAGAAGUGUGAAGGCCUUAACCCCCAAGUUAAGGCCCGGCCUACUUGGCCUGUUAAAAAUAUGGCUAGUCCUAGAUCCUUGACCCAGCAAUCCUGUUACUUUGUAUAUACCCAAAGGAUUAUAAAUUAUUCUACUCUAAAGGCACAUGCACACGUAUGUUUAUUGUAGCACUAUUCACCAUAGCAAAGACUUGGAACCAACCCAAAUGCCCAACAGUGAUAGACUGGAUAAGGCAAAUGUGGCACAUAGACACCAUGGAAUACUAUGCAGCCAUAAAAAAGAAUGAGUUUAUGUCCUUUGCAAGGACAUGGAUGAAGCUGGAAGCCAUCAUUCUCAGCAAACUAACACAGGAACAGAAAACCAAACACCGCAUGUUCUCACUCAUAAGUGGGAGUUGAACAAUAAGAACACAGGGACGCAGGGAAGGGAAUGUCACACACUGGGGCCUAUUGGGGUGAGGGUGGGGGACAAGGGGAAGGAGAGCAUUAGGACAAAUAUCUAAUUCUUGCAGGGCUUAAAACCUAGACGGUUGAUAGGUGCAACAAGCCACCAUCUCGCAUCUAUACCUAUGUAACAAACCUGCAUGUUCAGCAUAUGUACCCCAGAACUUAAUGUAAAAUUUAAAUAAAUAAAUAAAAAGAAUAUGGCCA